rnacentral:tRNA from 1 species
ACUCUAAUAGUUUACCAAAAACAUU